rnacentral:rRNA from 1 species
GAUGAACGCUGGCGGCGUGCCUAAUACAUGCAAGUCGAGCGAACGGACGAGAAGCUUGCUUCUCUGAUGUUAGCGGCGGACGGGGGAGUAACACGUGGAUAACCUACCUAUAAGACUGGGAUAACUUCGGGAAACCGGAGCUAAGACCGGAUAAUAUUUUGAACCGCAUGGUUCAAAAGUGAAAGACGGUCUUGCUGUCACUUAUAGAUGGAUCCGCGCUGCAUUAGCUAGUUGGUAAGGUAACGGCUUACCAAGGCAACGAUGCAUAGCCUACCUGAGAGGGUGAUCGGCCACACUGGAACUGAGACACGGUCCAGACUCCUACGGGAGGCAGCAGUAGGGAAUCUUCCGCAAUGGGCGAAAGCCUGACGGAGCAACGCCGCGUGAGUGAUGAAGGUCUUCGGAUCGUAAAACUCUGUUAUUAGGGAAGAACAUAUGUGUAAGUAACUGUGCACAUCUUGACGGUACCUAAUCAGAAAGCCACGGCUAACUACGUG